GUUUUUAUAGCUUAUAGUCAGAGCGUAGCACUGAAGAUGCUAAUGAAAUUUUAGGAUUUAAAAACA
rnacentral:tRNA from 1 species